AUCACACUUCGUCUUCCUUCGUCAUGUUCACAAAGGCUGUCGUCGCCCUCGCCCUCGUGGCCGUUGCUGCCUCUGCUCCUUCUCAGCCAGUCUAUGGCUAUGCACCUGAACCUGCCUAUGAGACCCCUGCCAAGUACGACUUCAACUACGCCGUGAAGG
rnacentral:lncRNA from 1 species